GAGCGGAAGGCCUCUUCGGGGGUACUCGAGCGGCGAACGGGUGAGUAACACGUGAGUAAUCUGCCCCUGGCUUUGGGAUAGCCACCGGAAACGGUGAUUAAUACCGGAUAUGACCACUUUACGCAUGUUUGGUGGUGGAAAGUUUUUCGGCCAGGGAUGUGCUCGCGGCCUAUCAGCUUGAUGGUGAGGUAAUGGCUCACCAUGGCUUCGACGGGUAGCCGGCCUGAGAGGGUGACCGGUCACACUGGGACUGAGACACGGCCCAGACUCCUACGGGAGGCAGCAGUGGGGAAUAUUGGACAAUGGGCGGAAGCCUGAUCCAGCAACGCCGCGUGAGGGAUGACGGCCUUCGGGUUGUAAACCUCUUUCAGUAGGGACGAAGCGCGAGUGACGGUACCUACAGAAGAAGCACCGGCCAACUACGUGCCAGCAGCCGCGGUAAUACGUAGGGUGCGAGCGUUGUCCGGAAUUAUUGGGCGUAAAGGGCUCGUAGGCGGUUUGUCGCGUCGGGAGUGAAAACGCCGUGCUUAACACGGCGCUUGCUUUCGAUACGGGCAGACUAGAGGUAUUCAGGGGAGAACGGAAUUCCUGGUGUAGCGGUGAAAUGCGCAGAUAUCAGGAGGAACACCGGUGGCGAAGGCGGUUCUCUGGGAAUAUCCUGACGCUGAGGAGCGAAAGUGUGGGGAGCG
rnacentral:rRNA from 1 species